UUGUGUCAUGGUAGCUUCUGUCAUUGCUUGCAUCAUCAUUGGUUUGUUGAAAUCUUCCACGUUGCAAGACUUUUUGUCUGCACUUGCAUUUCUUCUUUUGUCUUCAUCAUGGAUUUGAUGAUGACUUCCACGUUGCCAAUCUUUGUUGUUGGUAUGUGGAUUUCCUUCCUUUCAGGUUGCUAUCUUUGUUGACUUCAACCUUCUUGCAUAUUAUUGAGAUUCAUUUCUUCAAUCUCACCCAAAUGUAAAGAAUCUGAUGAGAGUCUUGGUGGUGAGUUCCACGUCUCCGAUAUAUUUUUGAGUUUUUCUGUAAUGUGAGAUGGAAAUUCUUCUAUCCCCAUUUUAGCAAUCUUUUUUAACAGCUUCACAGAUUCCUCAUUUCUUUCCUCCUAGAUGUUUCCAUUGGGAAAUGCCAAUAUCUUUCUUCCAUCCGUCCAUAGUUUAUAAACUUCAUCAUGGAGAAGAUAAUGGGCUUGUGAUAAUAAUUUCAAACCUGUUCAAAUUUAUUAUAACAUUCAUCAAUUGUUUUUUGACAAAUGUUCUUUAUGUUCAUUGACUACAGAUAAUUGGGGGUUCCAAUCAUCUUUUUA
rnacentral:lncRNA from 1 species